GGACAAACCCCCAACUCCGCUCCACUUCUACCGGGACUGGGUCUGCCCCAACAGGCCGUGCAUCAUUCGCAACGCUCUGCAGCACUGGCCGGCCCUCCAGAAGUGGUCCCUCCCCUAUUUCAGGUGGGAGCUGCCCUGGGGUCAGGUGUGAGCAGUGAUUACUGGCAUCUGGGCAUGGGCUGAGUGUCCAUUCCUCUAGAGCCACAGUGGGCUCCACAGAGGUGAGUGUGGCCGUGACCCCAGAUGGUUACGCGGAUGCCGUGAGAGGGGAUCACUUCAUGAUGCCAGCUGAGCGCCGCCUGCCCCUGAGCUUCGUGCUGGAUGUGCUGGAGGGCCGGGCCCAGCACCCUGGAGUCCUCUAUGUGCAGAAGCAGUGCUCCAACCUGCCCACCGAGCUGCCCCAGCUGCUGCCUGAUCUGGAAUCCCAUGUGCCCUGGGCCUCCGAAGCCCUGGGAAAGAUGCCCGAUGCUGUGAACUUCUGGCUGGGGGAGGUGGCUGCGGUGACUUCUUGUAGGUUGCACAAGGACCACUAUGAGAACCUCUACUGCGUGGUCUCAGGAGAGAAGCAUUUCCUGUUCCAUCCGCCCAGCGAUCGGCCCUUCAUCCCCUAUGAGCUGUACACGCCGGCAACCUACCAGCUAACUGAAGAGGGCGCCUUUAAGGUGGUGGAUGAAGAGGCCAUGGAGAAGGCAGAGGAGUCCAGGACCUGCCUGCUCACGGUUCGUGUCCUGCGGGCCCAUCACCUACCCUCUAAGGACCUAGUGACCCCCUCUGACUGCUACGUGACUCUCUGGCUGCCCACGGCCUGCAGCCACAGGCUCCAGACACGCUCGGUCAAGAACAGCAGUAGCCCUGUCUGGAACCAGAGCUUUCACUUCAGGAUCCACAGGCAGCUCAAGCCCUGUCACUCGUUUCCCCUCCAGAAUGUCAUGGAACUGAAAGUCUUUGACCAGGACCUGGUGACCGGAGAUGACCCUGUGUUGUCAGUACUGUUUGAUGCGGGGACUCUGCGGGCUGGGGAGUUCCGGCGUGAGAGCUUCUCACUGAGCCCUCAGAGUGAGGGGCACCUGGAAGUUGAAUUUCGCCUGCAGAGUCUGGCUGACCGUGGCGAGUGGCUCGUCAGCAAUGGCGUUCAGGUGGCCCGGGAGCUCUCCUGCUUGCACGUUCAACUGGAGGAGACAGGAGACCAGAAGUCCUCAGAGCACAGAGUUCAGCUUGUGGUUCCUGGGUCCUGUGAGGGUCCGCAGGAGGCCUCUGUGGGCACUGGCACCUUCCGCUUCCACUGCCCAGCCUGCUGGGAGCAGGAGCUGAGUAUUCACCUGCAGGAUGCCCCUGAGGAGCAACUAAAGGUGCCACUGAGUGCCCUGCCCUCUGGUCAAGUGGUGAGUCUUGUCUUCCCCACGUCCCAGGAGCCCCUGAUGAGAGUGGAGCUGAAAAAAGAAGCAGGACUGAGGGAGCUGGCCAUGCGACUGGGCUUCGGGCCCUGUGCAGAGGAGCAGGCCUUCCUGAGCAGGAGGAAGCAGGUGGUGGCCGCGGCCUUGAGGCAGGCCCUGCAGCUGGACAGAGACCUGCAGGAGGAUGAGAUCCCAGUGGUAGCUAUUAUGGCCACUGGUGGUGGGAUCCGGGCAAUGACUUCCCUGUAUGGGCAGCUGGCUGGCCUGAAGGAACUGGGCCUCUUGGAUUGCGUCUCCUGCAUCACCAGGGCCUCGGGCUCCACCUGGGCCUUGGCUUUUCCCAGGGCCUUGGCCAACCUUUACGAGGACCCAGAGUGGUCUCAGAAGGACCUGGCAGGGCCCACUGAGUUGCUGAAGACCCAGGUGACCAAGAACAAGCUGGGUGUGCUGGCCCCCAGCCAGCUGCAGCGGUACCGGCAGGAGCUGGCCGAGCGUGCCCGCUUGGGCUACCCAAGCUGCUUCACCAACCUGUGGGCCCUCAUCAACGAGGCGCUGCUGCAUGAUGAGCCCCAUGAUCACAAGCUCUCAGAUCAACGGGAGGCCCUGAGUCAUGACCAGAACCCUCUGCCCAUCUACUGUGCCCUCAACACCAAAGGGCAGAGCCUGACCACUUUGGAAUUUGGUGAGUGGUGUGAGUUCUCUCCCUACGAGGUCGGCUUCCCCAAGUACGGGGCCUUCAUCCCCUCCGAGUUCUUUAUGGGGCAGCUGAUGAAGAGGCUUCCUGAGUCCCGCAUCUGCUUCUUAGAAGGUAUCUGGAGCAACCUGUAUGCAGCCAACCUCCAGGACAGCUUAUACUGGGCCUCGGAGCCCAGCCAGUUCUGGGACCGCUGGGUCAGGAACCAGGCCAACCUGGACAAGGAGCAGGUCCCCCUUCUGAAGAUAGAAGUACCACCCUCAACAGCCGGCAGGAUAGCUGAGUUUUUCACCGAUCUUCUGACGUGGUGUCCACUGGCCCAGGCCACACAUAAUUUCCUGCGUGGCCUCCAUUUCCACAAAGACUACUUUCAGCAUCCUCACUUCUCUACAUGGAAAGCUACCACUCUGGAUGGGCUCCCCAACCAGCUGACACCCUCGGAGCCCCACCUGUGCCUGCUGGAUGUUGGCUACCUCCUCAAUACCAGCUGCCUGCCCCUCCUGCAGCCCACUCGGGACGUGGACCUCAUCCUGUCAUUGGACUACAACCUCCACGGAGCCUUCCAGCAGUUGCAGCUCCUGGGCCGGUUCUGCCAGGAGCAGGGGAUCCCGUUCCCACCCAUCUCGCCCAGCCCCGAAGAGCAGCUCCAGCCUCGGGAGUGCCACACCUUCUCCGACCCCACCUGCCCCGGAGCCCCUGCGGUGCUGCACUUUCCUCUGGUCAGCGACUCCUUCCGGGAGUACUCGGCCCCUGGGGUCCGGCGGCCACCCGAGGAGGCGGCAGCUGGGGAGGUGAACCUGUCUUCAUCGGACUCUCCCUACCACUACACGAAGGUGACCUACAGCCAGGAGGACGUGGACAAGUUCCUGCACCUGACACAUUACAAUGUCUGCAACAACCAGGAGCAGCUGCUGGAGGCUCUGCGCCAGGCAGUGCAGCGGAGGCGGCAGCGCAGGCCCCACUGAUAGUUAAGGGUGGCAGGGGCCCCGGCCAACUCUCAUUCAUUCCUUGGCUGCUGAGUUGCAGACAGGAAUGCAGGGGGAGGCCAGGCAAUGGCUGUUUCCUGCCACAUGGGUAUGGCCACCCCAGAAUCUUCUCCAAACAAACAAACACUGGUGCCCCUGCCCUCCCCUGGACCAGCCAGCCUCCUAGAAUAAGCGUGGGAGUGGAUUCCAGAGCUGACAGGCGCUGCGGCAGCGACCACAGUGACGGGUGAGUGGGUCGGAAUUGCUUCGACUUUCAUAACCCAACUCUACAUCUGUCAGCUGGCCUAGCGGCCCCAGCCCUGGGUUAGAGACAGCAGAAAAAAUGGCUGUCCUGGUAGCCUCAGGAGCCCCUGUGUCCAGGACAAGGCCUGUCCCGUCAGCAACACAUCAUCUAAAUCAUAUAUUGGGCUCUGCAGGACUGGGAGCAGAUGGUUACACUGGAGACCACAGCCGUGGCUGCCACCCCUCAUGGUAUGAGCCCUCCAGGCACACGGCUGUAUAUGCGUGUGCACGUCUAGGCACAUCCUGGCAUGGGGCCUAUGCACGGAGGAUUUGCCUGUCUCCAGUCCCUCCUCCACUUUCACCUAACCUCAGGUGUCCCCUCCCCCUGGAGAGCCUGAAGCCCUCUGGUUUGGAAGGGAAGGACAUGUGGGUGAGGGGGGUUGAGCAUCGAAAUGAUGCUGGGAUCUACAAGGAGGGACUGAGGAGCCAGGUAAGAGCCUCCUGCCCCCGCACAUCCACCUUCGCAUCUCCUCCCUGGCCUGCAGGCCGGGACGUGCUGGCCCUCUCCAUUGCCAUGGAGUGGGGAUUGGGGAAAGCAGGGGAGGACCAGGUAGAGAACGGGUUGGAACAAGGGUGGGGCAGGGUCUGGCCGUCCUGCCAAUGUGCUGUGCCUUGGAGAGGGGAGAGGAGGGAGGAAAGUGAGGAGUGCGUGGGAAACAAACCCAGGCAGGCCCUCAGCACUGGGCAGAGGGAAACCUGGCUGCUCCUCCCACAAGCAGCCGAGCAGGAAGGGCACAGGGAGCCUGGGCAACUUCGUCUACAGGGUCCCCACACCAGAGCAUGGAGUGAGCCCUGGGAGGGGACCACUGUUGAGUCUGUGGAAAUCUGGGCUUUGUGGCCUGGAUUCCUCUCAGCUGAGAGUGGGCAGGGGCAGCUGAGGGUUCCAAUAGCAUUUCCCUACAGCCCGACAGAGUAAGUCUGAGGCCCAGAACCUCAGGCUUCAGAGGACAGCGCCUGCCAGCCACUGAAGCCCAGGGCUCCCCGCCCUGCUUCCCCCACCCAGGUGUCCCACCUGAGUAGACAUCCAGGCCGGGCAUCCUUGGUCGUGCACUCAUUCAGAGAGCUGACAGGUUUGGCUUUGAGUUCCGGGCUCAGACUCUGGGCUGCAGAGCAAGGGAAUAACCACUGUUAGCCCGGCCCAGACCAUCUGCAGGCGCCAGGUCUGGCUGCUCCUUCCUCCAGCUUCUGGAGGCUCAGCACAGCCUUAGGCAGCCUGGCCAUGCCAGGCCCUUCCCACGUGGGGGUGUGGGGCCGGCUGAGCACUUGUGGGCAGGUUUUUCCCCCAUGCGUCCUGCCUCUUAGGAAACUCCUCACAGGUGAGUUAAGAAAGGCUGAGCCUUUCUUAGGAGGUGGGGGAUUCUGGAAUGUCGAACAACUCAAGAUCCCUUUGGGCUUCUGGGAAGACAGACUCCUGGGAGGAGAGUCCAGGGGAACCAGCGACAGAGCUAGGAUCCCAGACACAUUCCCUGAACACACUGUCCACACGGAGCCUCAGCAGAGCACGCUGACCACGGAAGAAAUUCCAAAGGGUUGUCUCUAUAUAUUCCUCCAAGUAGAACCUGGCUUGCUUACUGUCUGCAAAACAACUCGAGGGUGGUGACAUUCAAAGUUGUCUGAGGACUAGAAGGUUAGAGAAGCACCCAGAUCAGACAGAACAGAGCCUGGAAAGCCCUUGGAGGAACACAGUCCAUGAGGAUUGUGGCAGGAAGGGCUUGGGGCAGUCUGAGUGGCAGACUCCAAAAGGGGCAGAACAGGACCAGGACACAGCUGGGAGUUCAAAACUGGCCCCAUCUCUGCUAAUUAGCUGUGUGAUCUUGGGCAAGUUGCGUAACCUCUCCAAGACCUAAAUUCUUUGAGAAAAAACAGUAAGUCCCACUUCUUGGAGGUUAGAGAUGCUAACUGUGAAACCUCCCUAGGAUGCAUAAAACACUAGGGGCCCAGGAGCUUGGGGCCCAGGGAGUUGGCCGCCCUCCCCGCAUCCUUCCCCUGAAGCCCACCUGCAGUGCUGCCCAGGGCUCGCCACCAGCUCUCAGCCUGCUCUUCGGACGGUGCUGCAAACAGGAUCUCUGCCCCACUGGUCAGCCUGGCACCCACACAGUCACAGGUCAAACUCCACUGUCCCUUUGGGGACCCCCACGCCUCCAGCCCCCGCUGAGCCAGGUGGCUGCUGGGGGCGAUGCCGGAGUCCAUGUCUCUCCACUCACCUUAAGGAGAAUAUGUGUUUCCUGCCAUGGCGGCCCCGCAGCCUCUCACACCGGGCUCCCGUGAGGUCAAGGAGGGCUAUGGAAGCUACUUUCUGAGGAGAGAUGAGAGGCAGGGGUCACUGCGGCCAUCUCAGCUUUUCCCUGUGGGGUCCCUCUGUCCUAGGGCCCCUCUGCCUUGUUUCCCAGCACCCUGAUGUCUGCAUCUCCCCUACCCCGCCUGGUACCUCCGCUGCCAUCCUCUCAUCCAGGAACAGGCUCAGAGAGCUGCCCUGCAAGGUCCCGCGGCAGCUGUCCCAGGAGCUCGAGCUAGGCUGUGGAGAGGAGGCGGGAAGGUUGCAUGAGCCACACGCAGGAAGCCAGAGCUAGGGCCUGUCCACGCCUCACCGUGUGUCUGGAGCUUCCCAGGAAAAGUGGUGGAUUGGACCAAAGUCCCAAUGGGGAAAGGGAAGCCACAGAGGGGCUCUGACGGGAAACCAGAAGGGGAAGAGCAGGUGGGGAGGAGGAAUCCCAGCACCUCCUGGGGGGGUGGGUAGGUGGGGGCGGUGGCAGAAGCUGGGAAGGGUCCCAAGGAGCCAAACUGCCUGGACAGCAUGGUGGGGGGUGGCAUCUGCCCAAGUUCACAGUGCAAGGGUGCCAGGCCCAGGUGGCUCUUCGAGCCACUCAAGUGCUGCUGCAAGUGGGGAGCUGCCUGGAGAAGGAAUCUCCAGGCACUCACCUGCCUCCCGCCAGGCAGCAGGUGCUGCUUGAACUCCAAAGACCCCUCCAUGGUGGGGGUACCCUUUGCAUCCUGAAAAUGCAAGAUGGGGCCCAGAAAUGUCAGGACCAGCACCCUCAGGAAGGUGGGCAAGGCACCCACUGCCCCCGGCUCUCUCUAUUCCCCCCAUCCAAGUACUAACCAGGCCUGACCCUGCUUAGCUUCUAAGAUCAGAUGAGAUCGGGCAUGUUCAGGGUGGUAUGGCUGUAGACAGCCAUCUUUAUUCCUAAUGACCUUCAGCUCCUGUACCCGGGCUCCCAGCACUGGCUCCAGGGUGUGGGCCCUCACCCCCACAGCCCCAGCCCCAGCCCCAGUGCAUGCUCCAGGGAGACCACGGCGGGGGCGCCUGCAGCCCCAUGGGGACACCUGCCUGGGGGUCCCUCGUCUCAGCCAGCUGUGCUCCUAGCCCCUGGUGUCCAGAGGGCCUCCACUGAAAGGAUGUCAGCGAGCUGCCAGCUCUCCCGGGCUUCAGCUCCUGUGGCUGCAGCAGGAGCUCCUGUUCCAUCUUGGGGAGUGGGCAAGGUGAGCCAGGUCAGGGAGACCAGCCACACCUUGGGUUCCCGUCUACCUCCCCUCCCCCAGCCCUCCCGGUCAGAGGGGGCCUGCCUCCCCAUCACUAGCUCUUUCAGCUUUGGCUCUGGAGGCUCACACCCAGUCCACAAUGGUGCCUCUCCCACCACCGCAGCUGGCCAGGGAAAGGAGCAGGUAAGGCAGGGCCGGGUGAGGGCUCAGUGCUCUGGGAGACACUGAUUUGCAGGCUGAGAGGGACUGUUCCCCCACCAGCCCUCAGCCCCUAGCCGAGGCAGUCAUCACCUCUGUCUUCUGCAUUUGGGCAAACUUCUCUUCCUGGGCUGCCAGCAGCUUUUCUAAGUCCUGGUGUCUGUGCAGCAGCAACUCCACAUCUGACACUGAGUGCUGGGGAGAAGCAUGUUCAGGUGAGGCCCAGCUUAGGGGGGGCCCAGAGCCUGGUAGCCAGCUAAGGGGCAGGACCCCCACUCACCCCAUAGUCGGGUUUCAGCAGGAGGCCCUCCCGGCAGGCCAGCCAGGCCUCAGCCUGCUCCAGCCUCUGCCGAAGCUUCUGCAGGCCCCAGCUCUCGGCACAGCAUUGCCAGCGCAGGGCCCAAGCCUCCUCCAGCUCCUGCAGCCGCCCUUCCAGCUCCUGCAGGCACUCUGUCACCUGGUGGGGAGGGGCUGCUAUGGGUGACAGCUUGGGUAGGGCUCCCACCAUGGGCAGGGCAGGGCUGGAGAGCCAAGUGUUAAUGGAAGUGCAGAGGGAAGGCUGUGAGACCCGCACCUCCCCCUUCCCAGCCUCUCUCCCUGCCUGCGCCCAGCCUUCCUUUCCCGCUGGUUUCCAUGCCUGUGAGGGGCCCUGAGGCCCUGGGCAAUCAGGCUGUAUCCCCAGCCCAACCCCAGGCCCACCCUCUGAGUUCACACCUCCGCAGACAUGAAGUGGCUGUUGUCCACCAGCUGCUGUCCUUCCUGCCGCAGGUCCUGGGCUUGAAGGCGGCACUCCCUGAUUUCUUGCCCCAGCUCUUCAUGCUGCCCAAGGAGCUGCUCAGCCCCCGCCACAUCCUCAGCCAGCUCCUCGGAGGACGCCAGCUCCUGCCUCUCCUGUGCCCAUGCUCUGUGGGGCAGGGAAGGGAGCUGUUGUCAGGGCUGGCUGGGGAGCAGGGGAGGGAGGGUCCAGCUCCCCCAAGAGCCAGGAUACCCCCACCCCACAGGGUAGAGCUGAGCCGGCAGCUGAGGUAGGACACCUACAGCAGUUCCUGGCAGCGCCCGAGGAAGGCAUGGCCCUGUGCAGCCUGCGCCAGCCACUGGCCUCGCUCCUGGGCCUUCACCUGCAGGGUGGCCCAGGCCUCCUGCACCUUGGCCAGGCCCCCCGGAGCUGCAGGAUGUAGCUGGCCCAGUCGGCAGGCCUCCGUCUGUACCCGUGCCACCUCCUUCUCCAUAGCUUCCAGCUCUCUCUGCAACCAGAGCAUGAGAUCAGGCCUCAGUCCCCCAACUGAGCCGAUGCAUGCUCUGUAUUCAGGAGCACCAGGCCUCUCUGAGGAACCACCUCCACUCUGCUGCACAAGCUGGGCCAAGUCCUAGGGCCCCUCGGGGAAGGAUCUGGGUUUCUGGAGAAGAGGCUGAAGCAGGCUGGGGUGGGAGGGCUGAGACAGAUCCCCUCAGCCACCGCCUUCGGGCGGGGGCUCAGACAGGCAAGCUGCAGGGCAUGGGCCUCACCUCCAGGCGCCUGUGCUGUUGCUGCAGGGUCCGCACAGAUGACAGGCUGUGGCCUCCGUCCUCUCCCUUCAUCAGGGCCGUCUUCUCCUGCAUCCUUCCCUGGAGCUCAGCCGCUGCCUGCUGAAAGCUGUGGACCUCAUGGGCUGCAGCCAAGUUCUGGGAGAGGAGAAAGGACCUGGUCAGGGCUGUUCUCUGCUCCCAGGAUUCCUUUCUCCCUGGAGACACGGCCUUCUGGGCCACCUCCUUUUGAACAAGGAGGACCAUGGGGCUUGAUGUGUCCCCAGGUACAGAAACCAUCCUCCAUGCUGCAGCCCUCAGUGAACGUGAUGAUAUGGGUCUGCGGCAGGCCAGGGGGUGGGGAGGGCGGGGAGAGGAGAGGGUCUUGUGCAUCUCAGGGAAAGGCAGACUCGAGGUGUUGGGUCCACGUGAGGGAGCAGGCCGGUUCUCGGGGAUCUGGCUGGCCCUGGCAGUACCACCUGCAGUGCCUCUCAUGGGGCUGGGGGACCAGGUCAGCUCAGGAGGCAGCCCCAGCCCAGGACCUACAGAGAUGAAAUGUCCUGGGCUGCAGCCAAUUCCUGGAAGAAAGCUGAGCAGGUGAGGGAGAAGGCGCAUUCACUUGAGGCCAGCAGGGUGUGUGUCUUGUUGGAACCAAAGCCUGUGGUAAGGAGGGCUUAGAGGGAUUUUUUGAAGACUCUGACACCCCUUAGCUUGGCCCGGCCUGUGAUCACCUACCUCUGUGCGGGCUUUUAUUGCUUGGUCCAACCUCUCCCAAGCGGCCUCAAUGCGGCUCCUCUGGGCUUGAAUGUGGGGAUAGCGCCUGGGUGCACCGCGCUCCAGGGUGCCUGCCAACUUCCUCAGGGCAUACACCUUGGCCUGGCCCAGGCUCUGCACUUCCUUUCUGAAAGCAUCAAACUUCUCUUCCAGCACCUGCAAAGGUAUGAGGCCCAGCAGGGUCACUCGAGAUGGUAUCAUGAGCUCUCAAAGCUCAUGAAGAGCUCAGCAGACUCUGAUGGCUCUGAAAUCCCUCAGCCCAGGUUCUGGAACCAUCGGGAUCCUCCCUAGGACACCCUCUCCAGGCUCCUUUCUGCUGACUCCCCAGCAACCCUUUCAUCCCAAGGCAGGCCUUCCUCAGCCUCUGCCCAUUCCCCGUGAGGUUUGCUCAGGAGUAACUCACCUUGACACCCUCCAGGUCCUGCCCGUAGUCCUGGGACUCGGCGGUGGCCGCCUUGGUGGUCAGCCAGGCAUCGAGGAGCAGGGUCUCUCGCUCCAGCUGGUGUAGCUGCAGCUGCUCCUGCAGGCCGUGCCCCCUGGCCUCCGCCCUCCGCAGCAGCUCUGCGUGGGCCUCCCGAACUGCCUGCAGCUGGGCUAGCACCUUGGGGCUGUGGGAAGAGAGCGACAGUCUGGACUGCAGCCCUUCCUUUCCAGGCUGGAGCAGUCUCCUGCCAUCUCUGUAGGGGGCUUCUCUCUGCUCCUUCCCAGAUGGUGUGGCUUCCGCCCACCUUUCUGGGUUCUUCCUGCUCUCCAGGAGUGCUGCUGUCUGCUGCAGCCGCUCGAUGCGUGGGCUGAACGCUUCCAGGUCUCUCUUGGUGGCCUCCAGCCGCCGCAGAAGGGCCUGUGUGGCUUCAGCACUGUGGCCCAUGUCCUCGCUGUCCAGGACAUGGCCCCGCUCAGCCAGCCAGGAUCCCGCCUCCAGGAGCUGGGGGUGACAGAGUGGAGAUCCGUUUUCCCGGGGCACCCUCCAGGGCUCAGGAUUUACAGCCACGAUUCUCAGCCUGGCUGCACAGGGGAAUCACCUGGGAGCUGUCAUGCUCCCUCGGCCUGGCCCCACUCCUAAGCAGCCUCAUCUGGUCCGGAACACAGCCAGGGCAGCAGUGUUUUGUAAAGGGUCCAGGUGAUUGUUUUUUUCCAUGCAAAAUAGACAUUUUAUUCUUGGUUCAUAGGCAUAGAUUUUGUCACUUAAAACCAAGUUUUAGCAAAUAUUCCUUGCAGUGUUUCUCCCUUUCAUUUAUUAGCCUAUUUACUUCAGUUUUUCUUCCUUUACAAUUGUAUUCACCAUUGUGAAGUAAUUGAGGUAUAAUUGUCCAAGUGAAGGUUCCAGGUGAUUCUCAUGUAAAGCCCUGGUUGAGAACCACUGAUCUAGAGGGAAAAAAGACAAAAGCCAACCCAGCCAGCAGCUGUGUUCUGGGAAACAUGUGGAAGGAAGCCCUUGGGGGCAGGAGACCACUGAGUGGAGGAGACGAAAGGUGCCCAGGCCAGGAGCCCCGGAGUGACCUCCCGGCCGCACUCGCCCUGUGUUCCAGGCCUGCCUGCUGUGCCCUGCCCAUCACUCCCCUCACCUCAGUCAGAAACUGCUGGGCCUCCUGAGCCUGCUGCAGCAGAAGCCGCCUCUGCGCCGCCUCUGCCCGCAGGUGGGCCAUGGCCUUCUCCAGCUGCUGCACCCGGGCGGCCACCUCGUGGGCGGCAAAGUGCCCAGCCUGCACCAGCUUGUGCCCAGUGCCCAGCACCACCUGGGUCAGAGCCUCGUGGCUGCUCAUCUCACUCUCCAGGUUCUGUGGGGGAGGAGGCAGGAGGAUGCGGAUGUUGCUGACCCUUGGGGGACUCCCACAGUUGUGCUUGAAGUUUCACGGGACCCCACUAAGUUGUCCCCAAGGAGUUCCCUGUCCCCAUGACUCCCAAAGAAUCCAGGGCAUUCCAAAAGCCCCCACAGGCAGAGAGUUCCUGGCUGGGCCACAGAAAGUGCCGUUUGCUUGGCUGAGAAGCCCUGCUCAUGUGCGAGGCCGGCCCUCCCCGGGUGGGCCCACACCUGGUGCUGCUCCUGCAGGUGCCGCACCGCACUCAGGCUCUGGCCAUAGUCCUGGGCAGUGGCCAGAGGCAGCUUCUCCUGCACCCAGGCCAUUUCCUCGUCGGCGUCCCUGAAGAACUUCAAGAGGAGGCUCCGGGCCUCCAGGGCCGUCCUGCGCUCCUGCAGGGGCUCCCUCAGGCUCUUGAACCUGCAGCAGUGGAGGGUGGGACCAAGGGAGGCAGGGACCAGGGUGUCAGUAUUAGGGAUACCUAGUGACACAAAUCACCCAGCUGUGGCCCUCACCAUGGGCAAGGGGAGAAAGUGAGAAGACAUCAGUUAAGAGGGCAGGGGUGGGGGUCCCUCCAGGAAGGCAGGGAAGAGAAGCUGAGGGCACGGGUGGAUCUACCUCUGAAGAAGCCGCUGGGCCUGCUCUUCCACAUCUUGGGCAAGGCAGUGGCCUUCCCUCACAAAGGCCUGGGCCUGGCCCAGCAGUGCCUCAGCCUGCCUGGCCUUCUUGUCCACUGCUGCCUCCAGCUCCCUCUGUGUGCCCAGGAGCUCGCCCACCCCAGGCAGGGCCUGGCCCACAGUGGGGGCUCUCAGCUCAACCUCGAUGGGCUCCAGCCAGUUCUCCAGUUCCUCCAUGCUCCGCCGCAGACGCAGGGCCUAGGGUGGAAAGUGAGGUAGGCAGGAGGGGAGUGGCCUGGAGCCUGGCCAGCCACCCCUCGGCCUGCACAACCUCACCUCACAGGCCUUCUGGAGCUUGGCCACCUUCUGGAAGUUGUCUUGCAGCUCACCCCAGAGUGCUCCCAGCUACUCCAGUCUCUCCUGGAUGGCCUCCGAGGCUGGGUGGCCCCCCUGCAGCAGCCUCUGUCCCUCCUGCAGCCACAACAUGAAACACACCUUGUGGACUCAGGACUGCCAGUACCAGGGCACUUGUGUUGACUCUGACUACCAGCACUAGAGCUGCAGAGUCCCUGCAGUCCAGCUGCAUGAUCUUGAGCAACUUUCUUUACCUAAGCCUCAUUUUCCUCAUCCGUAUCAUAGAGAAAAUAAUGGUUAUUUUGUUUAAAUGAGAUAAGUCAUAUAAAAUACUUAGCAGGGUGAUUUAUAUCAGAGGGAGCCAGCCUGGGGUCAGGACCUGCCUUUGCAGGUGGAAAAGAGAAUGUUUUAAAAAGUGCUAUGCUGGGCACAGUGGCUCAUUCCUGUAAUCCCAGCACUUUGGGUGGCUGAGGCAGGUGGAUCGCCUGAGCUCAGGAGUUUGACACCAGCCUGGACAACAUGGCAAAACUCCAUCUCUACCAAAAAUACAAAAAAGUAGCUGGAUGUAGUGGUGUGGGCCUGUGAUCCCAGCUACUUGGGAGGCUGAGCUGGGAAGAUCACUUGAGCCUGGGAGGCGGAGGUUGCAGUGAGCUGAGAUCUUGCCACUGCACUCCAGCCUGGGUGACAGAGCAAGACCCUGUCUCAAAGUGGCUAUGUUUUGACUCCUUCGCUCACAGGACUGGUGGCUAUGUCCUGUUCACAUCAAAAUGUUAUCUUUAAAAUUACUGAAAAGGUGCCAUUUUUGGAGAAGGUGCCCGCCGCACCCCCCCCCCCGCCCCCGCUGCCGGAAAGCAACUUCUUCUCACUACACUUCUGCCUAAACAACCGCUUAGCCAGGUGCCUGCACACAGAAAGUACUGGAUAACGCUGGCCAACGUUACUGUGGUUCAGCACCAGCUCUGGGGCACUGUCCUGUGUUCUGCCUGGAGAGCUGUCCCACCACCCUCCUGCCUGCAGGGCCUCACCCGCUGCAGCUCCUGCUGUUGGUGCAUGCUCGCGUCCAGCUCCGCCUGGAAAUUCUGCUGCUUCUGUAACUGUGCUGGCAGCAUGGCUGUGUCCAGCAAACCCUCCUCCAGGGCCACCAGGUUCUUCUCCCUCAGCCACGCAGCUACCUGGGCAUGUGGGGAGGACAGGCCUGCUGUCCAGGGCUUUCCCCUUCCCCUGACCUCUGGGAUACCCUAGAGGAAGGGUGGCCUUUCCCUGGGUCAACUCCUUCCCCACCAUGACCGCCUCCCUCUCCAAGUGAGGCGAACCUCCUGGGAGUCCUGCAGGAAGGCCUGCAGCUGCCGGAGCUCCUCCAGGCGAUGGCGGCGGGUCCUGGCUUGCCUGAAGAGCGCCUCCUUCCUGCCAGGAGGAGAGGCUUAUGGGCCUGGAGCCACCCCCGGGGCCAGGUGGGGUGCCCGUCCAGCCUAGGCUUUCUCGGGUAUGAAUAUACUCCGAGUCUGGAGUUUCCUUUGGAAUAAAGGUACAUUGCACUCCC